rnacentral:rRNA from 1 species
UACGGGGGGAGCAAGCGUUGUUCGGAUUUACUGGGAGGAAAGGGCGCGUAGGCGGCCAGUGCAAGUCAGUUGUGAAAUCUCCGAGCUUAACUCGGAAAGGUCAACUGAUACUGCUCGGCUAGAGUGCGGAAGGGGCAACUGGAAUUCUUGGUGUAGCGGUGAAAUGCGUAGAUAUCGAGAGGAACACCUGCGGCGAAGGCGGGUUGCUGGGCUGACACUGACGCUGAGGCGCGAAAGCCAGGGGAGCGAACGGG